rfam:Echinostoma caproni strain Egypt genome assembly, scaffold: ECPE_scaffold0027989
UCACUGCUGAUGAGACCCAACGAGGUCGAAACAGCUGUCCAGUGC